rnacentral:rRNA from 1 species
UACGUAGGGUGCGAGCGUUGUCCGGAAUUACUGGGCGUAAAGAGCUCGUAGGCGGUGUGUCACGUCGGCCGUGAAAACCUGGGGCUUAACUCUGGGCGUGCGGUCGAUACGGGCAUCACUAGAGUUCGGCAGGGGAGACUGGAAUUCCUGGUGUAGCGGUGAAAUGCGCAGAUAUCAGGAGGAACACCGGUGGCGAAGGCGGGUCUCUGGGCCGAUACUGACGCUGAGGAGCGAAAGCAUGGGUAGCGAACAGG